rnacentral:tRNA from 1 species
GGGGUUAUAGCUCAGUGGUAGAGUACUUGCCCAGAAUGUAUGAGGCACUGGAUUCAAUCCUCAGUACCACA